CAUUUCCGUUUCUCCAGUACUACGAACAUUCCUAUCAGACCGCUAUUGAUGUUCUAAAAUUAACUCUCACAACUGACAACCGCUGGUGCAUAGAGCUCAACCAUAGAGGAAGAUGGGCCACGGCGAUAAAGGCCGACCAAGCAAAAAGAUGAAGUUUUCCUCAAAGGAGGAACAUAGGUCUGUUGAAGAAGAUGAACCAUAUUACGUCGAUGGUCGGA